rnacentral:rRNA from 1 species
UACGGAGGGUGCAAGCGUUGCUCGGAAUUAUUGGGCGUAAAGGGUAGGUAGGUGGUCUCAUUUGUCUGGGGUGAAAGCCUUGAGCUUAACUCAAGAAGUGCCCCAGAAACGGUGAGACUAGAGUCUUGGAGAGGGUCGUGGAAUUCCGCGUGUAGCAGUGAAAUGCGUAGAUAUGCGGAGGAACACCGAUGGCGAAGGCAAUCCCCUGGCCUGCACUGACGCUCGAUGCACGGAAAGCGUGGGGAGCAAACAGG